UAAAAUUAAAAGUUAUUAUUUUGGCAGAUUAGUGCGAUAGACUUAGAAUCUUUACAUGUAAUUUU
rnacentral:tRNA from 1 species